rnacentral:rRNA from 1 species
GAUGAACGCUGGCGGCGUGCCUAAUACAUGCAAGUCGAGCGAACAGACGAGGAGCUUGCUCCUCUGACGUUAGCGGCGGACGGGUGAGUAACACGUGGAUAACCUACCUAUAAGACUGGGAUAACUUCUGGAAACCAGAGCUAAUACCGGAUAAUAUCUUUAACCGCAUGGUUCAAUAGUGAAAGACGGUUUUGCUUUCACUUAUAGAUGGAUCCGCUCCGCAUUAGCUAGUUGGUAAGGUAACGGCUUACCAAGGCAACGAUGCGUAGCCGACCUGGGAGGGUGAUCGGCCACACUGGAACUGAGACACGGUCCAGACUCCUACGGGAGGCAGCAGUAGGGAAUCUUCCGCAAUGGGCGAAAGCCUGACGGAGCAACGCCGCGUGAGUGAGGAAGGUCUUCGGAUCGUAAAACUCUGUUAUUAGGGAAGAACAAAUGUGGAAGUAACUAUGCACGUCUUGACGGUACCUAAUCAGAAAGCCACGGCUAACUACGUG